rnacentral:rRNA from 1 species
GACGAACGCUGGCGGCGUGCUUAACACAUGCAAGUCGAGCGGAGCUGCGAACGGGUGAGUAACGCGUUAGUAACUGCCCCCCUCUCUGGGAUAAAAGUUGGAAACUGCUGCUAAUACCGGAUAGUGGGGGAUGACUCGCGUCCUAUCAGCUUGUUGGUGGGGUAGUGGCCUACCAAGGCGACGCCGGGUAGCCGGCCUGAGAGGGCGACCGGCCACAUUGGGCUGAGAUACGGCCCAAACUCCUACGGGAGGCAGCAGUGGGGGAUAUUGCACAAUGGGCGAAAGCCUGAUGCAGCGACGCCGCGUGAGUGAAGAAGGCCUUCGGGUUGUAAAGUACUUGCAGCGAGGAGGGGUUAAUAACCUUAGUGAUUGACGUUACUCGCAGAAGAAGCACCGGCUAACUCCGUGCCAGCAGCCGCGGUAAUUC